GUCACCCGCCUCCUCCCGUAUUCCAAGCCUCCAUCGCGCCGCCGCGCUUUACACUGGCGGCAACCCACCCCGUCGUCCGCCUUGCCUUGCCUGGCCUCAAGCCGGAGGCGGCCGGUCGACCUCCACCCCUCCCCUCGCCUGGGCGUGCACCAUCUACCACCACCAACCCCGCUGCUCCCUCUCCUCCCCCAUCCCGAUCUAGAACCCUAAUUCGCCUCCCCACUAGGGAGAGGAGGAAAGCAGGGCGGCUCUGGUCAGCUUUUUCCGGUGGGAGUUGCCGGCGUCGAGGUGGCAAGGCGAGGCCGGGGCCGGGCCCUGGCUCUCCCGAUCCAGACGGGAUAUAGGCAGGGCGUGGGCGGCUUGGGCGCACUGCGCGUGGAGGCUUGCGGGGCGCUGGUCGUCCGUCCGAUCUAGAUGCUUCUCCACCUCUUCUGGUUGGGUUCCCCACCAUGGCUACGGGCCGCUUCGCCCUUAUCAUCCUGCACUCCACCUCGUCCACUUCAGGUGUCUGACCGUGGCUGAGGGCUUUCGCCUAUCCAUCCUUCCAAUCUAGAGCACGGGUGAAGAGUCUGGUUGUGUGCGGUAGGGAUGGCGCCCCGUGUCUGCGCCCCAUAAGCUUGGACGGAGCUCCGACGAGGCCAUGUUGGUCUUUUUUUUUUUUGCGGGUGAGGCCAUGUUGGUCUUGCAGAUGAGCCCCAAACGUGGCCAAUCCUCUGAAGCUUCAAUGGAAUCUGAAGUUAAUGCCUGCAGGCUGCAGUUGUUGAUCACUCAGAGUAUAUUGGUGCCACCGCUGCAUUUGGAGUUGGAGAGGCCCAGGACACCUGCUGCAAGAGGCAAAUGGUCACCUACAGAUGCAGGUUACUCUCUGUAAAUAUGCAGGUUACUCUACAGGGGAUCACAUGUGUUCUGCCGGCAAUUUCAAUUUAGACGGGCGGUUGCCAUCAUCGUGAGACUGCCGACUGGAGGAACUACAAUGGCUCUUUGUUCCAGCCAUAUCAGAUCCCCCGUGCUGGAGCUUUCCGGUCACGUAAAGCGCAUGGAGGGGAGGCAGGACGGCCGACAGAGGCAUUCUAUUUGGGGUUGCGUCGAUCUGGUGAUGCUGGAGCACGGCAACGGGAAACAUCACCUCCACUAUGACAUUUCAAGUAGCCAAUUUUCCAUUCUCCCUAAGGAUUUCUUACUCUGCUGUCAGUAUCACUGGGCUUGGGGUUUAGAUUUUGUUAAUAUCAAAAUUUGGGUACUUACCAGCAAACGAGUUGUUGAUCUAUUUACUUAGUCAAGUUCAUUUCUGCUAUACCCUGCAAAAGUAGUUCAUUUCUGCUAUGUUCUUCCGUCAAGCUUCAGAUUCUAGCCUUGAUUAAAUGGCAAUGAUAUUCUUCAUAGCCUAUUAAUGUCACAAAUCCUGCAACAAAACAUGAUUUCAAGAAUUGUGGUGGAACUGGUUUAUAUAACAUGGUUUGCCAACCGCUAUGAGCACUGAGUAGUGUGUGGCAGGUUUAUUAUGAUUGGAAUGAAGAUUUGAGAUGUACGUGUAGGUCAAAUUUUGCAAAAUUAUGGGUCUGCAGUUAGAAAAUUAUAUGCAGGCAAUUUUACGGUUUUCUGAGACUAAGGAUUCAAGCAUGAAUUUGAAUAUAGUUUCAUGGUUUUUUUCCCACAAGUUAUCUUAUAUUUACUCCUCUUUCUAUGAUAUUGGAAUUUAUAUGCUUACUUAACUGUUCAAAGAUACACGUUUUGUUUAUUGAUUCGAAGUUACCACAUAUAAGCUUGAGUCCAUGUGAAAUGACACACUGUUUGGAACAAAAUAGAACAUAGUACAGUUUGGUGGUUAAACUACUCCUUACCUCGGCAUUCUAAUAAUCUGUAAUAAUGAUAGUUGGCAUUGGUCAUGCAAGAUCACUUGCACGAAAUUGGUGGCUUGCUGCUAUUGUACUUCAUUGCUUCUGUUUAUUUUACAUUUUUUAUUUACUGUGAUUUGCCAAACAAAAGUACUAGCAUAAUGGAAUAUUUGUUUGUGUUGUUUACAAAGUGAACAUAGUCUGAUGGGACAGCUCCUGAAUCAAUGUCACAUUAGGAAAUAACUGUCUUGAAGGAGUUGAAACAAAUUGAUCAUAUCCUCAUGUGUCUUUGCAAGGUGCAACAGAGGCAGUGUACUUUUUUCUAACAAAACAUUCCUACUUUAGAUAGAAAAACGCAUUUCCUGUUACUUAUCUCGGUACAUGAUGGUAGCCGUCACACAAAAGGAAGAUGGGGGCACAUGAGAUGUCCUGACCACUCCUUCGUCCCAAGAAUGGGAGUAACAAUGUUUCUAAAGUUCUGCUGCUAUAUUGUACUCGAAAUGUAUUCAUCAAACUGCCUUGUCAACCAUUUCUAUUUACACUCAAACUCCUGACAUAUUUCUUCGCAGUUGCCUUCUGCCCUCCCCUCCAGCAUUUCCGGAUAGCUAUGUCCCACCAUCAGCAUUAGAACAAGAGAAAGAGGCAGAUGAUCUAUUGCCACAGAGGCAUUGCUUCCUGCAAUUGACCAUAUUAUUGAUCAAUGGCUAGCAAAAAUACAGAAAUUUCAAUGAGAUUGUACCGUGGAUCAAGUAAACUAUGUAAUUAGUGAACUGGGAUGACGACGAUAGACAAGAAGACAAUGUUGUAUGUUGUGCAUGAGGAUUUGGUACACAUUUGACAUAAGAGUAUAU